rnacentral:rRNA from 1 species
CCUACGGGAGGCAGCAGUGGGGGAUAUUGCUCAAUGGUGGGAACCCUGAUGCAGCAACGCCGCGUGAGGGAAGAAGGUUUACGGAUUGUUAACCACUGUUCGUGGUGAAGCUAAUGACGGUAACCAAGGCGAGAGCUGCGGCUAACUACGUGCCAGCUGCCGCGGUAAUAUGUAGGGAGCCGGGGUUGUCCGGAUUUACUGGGUGUAAAGGGUGCGUAGGCGGUCUUGAAAGUCAGACGUGAAAACCCCGGGCUCAACCUGUGGCGAGCGUUUGAAACUGUGGGGCUUGAGUGAAGUAGAGGUAGGCGGAAUGCCCGGUGUAGCGGGGAAAUGCGUAGAGAUCGGGCAGAACACCAGUUGCGAAGGCAGCCUACUGGGCGUUAACUGACGCUGAGGCACGAAAGCAUGGGUAGCGAACAGGAUUAGAUACCCUUGUAGUC